UACGAAGGGGGCAAGCGUUGUUCGGAAUCACUGGGCGUAAAGCGCGCGUAGGCGGACCGAUAAGUUGGGGGUGAAAGCCCAGGGCUCAACCCUGGAACUGCCUUCAAUACUGUCGGUCUCGAGUUCGGGAGAGGUGAGUGGAAUUCCUAGUGUAGAGGUGAAAUUCGUAGAUAUUAGGAAGAACACCAGUGGCGAAGGCGGCUCACUGGCCCGAUACUGACGCUGAGGUGCGAAAGCGUGGGGAGCAAACAGG
rnacentral:rRNA from 1 species